CACACACAUACAGCACCCACAGACAUACACAGCACCCACAGACAUACAGCACCCAUACACAUACAGCACACACAGACAUACAACACCCACAGACAUACAACACCCACACACAUACAGCACCCACAGACAUACACAGCACCCACAGACAUACAACACCCACACACAUACAGCACCCACAGACAUACACAGCACCCACAGACAUACAACACCCACACACAUACAGCACACACAGACAAACAACACCCACAGACAUACAACACCCACACACAUACAGCACCCACAGAC